GGCCUGGCUGGACGGUCCGCCCUUCGGGUGAGUACUGUCUGUGGUCGGGUCCUACCUUCUGGCGAAGCGUCAUGUCCUUAAUUGGGUGUGUUGGGGAACCAGGACUUUUACCUUGAGAAAAUUAGAGUGUUCAAAGCAGGCCUUUGCCCGAAUACAUUAGCAUGGCAUAAUAAAAUAGGACGUGCGGUUCUAUUUUGUUGGUUUCUAGAGUCGCCGUA
rnacentral:rRNA from 1 species